CCCCCGUCCUGAAUGAAGGAGAGAGAACACCCCUCCCCCAUUACUAGGUCAAAUAAUGAUCUGCUACUGACAUAUCCUCCCCCAUUACUAGGUCAAAUAAUGAUCUGCUACUGACAUAUCCUCCCCCAUUACUAGGUCAAAUAAUGAUCUGCUACUGACAUAUCCUCCCCCAUUACUAGAUCAAAUAAUGAUCUGCUACUGACAUAUCUUGCCCCAUUACUAGGUCAAAUAAUGAUCUGCUACUGACAUAUCUUCCCCCAUUACUAGAUCAAAUAAUGAUCUGCUACUGACAUAUCUUCCCCCAUUACUAGGUCAAAUAAUGAUCUGCUACUGACAUAUCUUCCCCCAUUACUAGGUCAAAUAAUGAUCUGCUACUGACAUAUCUUCCCCCAUUACUAGGUCAAAUAAUGCUAGUUAUCCACCGCACUUUGUAUUGAGUCAGAUUAUUGAUUAGAUCAGUUAAGACCCAUCAUCUCUAACUGAAACGGAUGGUAAAGACCGGUUGAACACUAAACAAUCUUUAAUCCAUUUCAGACACUAUGAAUACUGGUUGAUUGUAAACCUUUUCAUUCCAGGUAGGUUAAUAUCCUGGUACAUUGGUUGAUAAUACUGUAUGGUAGACUUCCCAGUGGACUAGCUGGUUGGGAUGCAUUUGGAAGGAUUUAUUGUUCAUAGCUAAAUGUUUCCCUGCUUCACCUUAAUGCUUUUCCAUUUGACUAUUUAUUGUAGUUUUUUUCCUUUUGUGAUGUUUGUAAAUCACUGCCCAAAACGCCCUGCGAGUAUAUCAACUAUUACAUAGAGAUAUUCUUUGUUGUUUUCUUUCAUUAUUGGGGGACAUAUUGUUUGUUUUUACCUUCAAGCAUCUAUCUACCUCACUCUUCAUGAUCUGUUAGUGUUACUGACAUGACAAUACAUCUCACAUUUUCUCAUGAA